AAGUGGUUGCUGCCCUUGACUACUAUGAAGACUGGUGUGGGAAGGGUCGCUUUGGAUGCACUUGAGCUGGGGUCCCCAACCCCUGAGCCAUGGAGCCGUAAGGAGCCACACAGCAGGUGAGUGGUGUCGAGUGAGGGAGUGAGGGAAGCUUCGUCUGUAUUUACAGCCACUCCCCUUUGCUCACAUUCCCGCCUGAGCUCCACCUUCUCAGAUGAGCAGCAGCGUUAGAUUCUCAUAGGAGAACGCACCCUGUUGUGAACCGUGCAUGUGAGGGAUCUAGGUUGCGCUGUUCUUAUGAGAAUCUAAUACCUAUUGAUCUGUCACUUUCUCCCAUCACGCUCAGGUGGGACCAUCCAGUUUCAGGAAAACAAGCUUAACACGCCCACUGAUUCUACAUUAUGCUCCUACCUCCCGGCAGCCUGGCCAGGCCCAGAACUCUCUCCAGUCAGCCUCUACAGACCAAGCUCAUGACUCACAAUGGCCUAUUUAGGCCCAUACCCUACCUCACGGCAGUCUCCGCAGAUGAGCCUACUGCCUCACAACAGCCUCCACAGGCACAGCUCCGUCGUUCCAAUGGCCUCUUUAGACCCAGCUCCUGCCUCCCAGCCUUCUCUCCAGGCCCUGAACUUUCUCCGUGGGACCAUCCAGUUUCAGGAAAACAAGCUUAACACGCCCACUGAUUCUACAUUAUGCUCCUACCUCCCGGCAGCCUGGCCAGGCCCAGAACUCUCUCCAGUCAGCCUCUACAGACCAAGCUCAUGACUCACAAUGGCCUAUUUAGGCCCAUACCCUACCUCACGGCAGUCUCCGCAGAUGAGCCUACUGCCUCACAACAGCCUCCACAGGCACAGCUCCAUCGUUCCAAUGGCCUCUUUAGACCCAGCUCCUGCCUCCCAGCCUUCUCUCCAGGCCCUGAACUUUCUCCGUGGGACCAUCCAGUUUCAGGAAAACAAGCUUAACACGCCCACUGAUUCUACAUUAUGCUCCUACCUCCCGGCAGCCUGGCCAGGCCCAGAACUCUCUCCAGUCAGCCUCUACAGACCAAGCUCAUGACUCACAAUGGCCUAUUUAGGCCCAUACCCUACCUCACGGCAGUCUCCGCAGAUGAGCCUACUGCCUCACAACAGCCUCCACAGGCACAGCUCCAUCGUUCCAAUGGCCUCUUCAGACCCAGCUCCUGCCUCCCAGCCUUCUCUCCAGGCCCUGAACUUUCUCCGUAAGUUGAGGUAGCUGGGACUGUAGGUAUACAUGACGAUACUUGGCUAAUUUUUAAAUUGUUUUGCAGACAUGGGGUCUCACUUUGUUGGCCAGGCUGGUGUGAAACUAAUGGCCUCAAGUGACCCUUCCACCCCUGCCUCCCAUCCUCGAGGUAUGUGCCACCACAAGGAGCACUUGUUCAAUUUUCUAAAGAAAAAAUUUCUAAAGUAAGGCUGUGGGAUGAUGGCAGGAAGAUAAAAGAAAAACAGAAGAAUAAGUUAGAAUGACUUAUUCACACAUAUUUUUUGACAGCAAGAAGAACUGUUAGUAUAUACAUUCCUUACAAACAAACAAACGGCAGAUAAACAAUGUUGUAUAGGAACUUCAGCACACACUGUACAAUAUUCCCACUUUGCUGACAUAAGUUAUGGAAAUUUCGUGGUUUACUUGAGUGUCGCUACCAGUAUUUUGCUCUUCUGACGAUUUUUAUCAACUUCCUCAUCUGUUAACUUCUCUCCAAAGUAUGUCAUGACACGACAUACUGCCGCUGCACGAACA